rnacentral:rRNA from 1 species
AGCGAACGCUGGCGGCAGGCCUAACACAUGCAAGUCGAACGAACUCUUCGGAGUUAGUGGCGGACGGGUGAGUAACACGUGGGAACGUGCCUUUUGGUUCGGAAUAACUCAGGGAAACUUGUGCUAAUACCGAAUGUGCCCUUCAGGGGAAAGAUUUAUCGCCAUUAGAGCGGCCCGCGUCUGAUUAGCUAGUUGGUGAGGUAACGGCUCACCAAGGCGACGAUCAGUAGCUGGUCUGAGAGGAUGACCAGCCACACUGGGACUGAGACACGGCCCAGACUCCUACGGGAGGCAGCAGUGGGGAAUCUUGCGCAAUGGGCGAAAGCCUGACGCAGCCAUGCCGCGUGAAUGAUGAAGGUCUUAGGAUUGUAAAAUUCUUUCACCGGGGACGAUAAUGACGGUACCCGGAGAAGAAGCCCCGGCUAACUUCGUG